rfam:Hepatitis C virus subtype 6n isolate KM42, complete genome
CAAUCGAGUGGGAGCAUGCCUCAGGAAGCUUGGGGCUCCCCCAUUGA